GAUCUGUUGACCAAGGAUUGAUAGUUCUAAUGUAUAUGUUUUUAGACAUAUGAUCUGUUGACCAAGGAUUGAUAGUUCUAAUAUAUAUGUUUUUAGACAUAUGAUCUGUUGACCAAGGAUUGAUAGUUCUAAUGUAUAUGUUUUGAGUAUUAUUUAGUUUACAAUCAGCAAUAGUGGGUUACAUUAAAACAAAGAAAUAAUAACAUUUUGUCCAAUUUUCCAUUGGAUUGGUGCUUAGUUUUAGUAUACUUUCUAGGAAACUUUGUAUCUAGUUUUGUAGCAUAUAGUGAAUAGUGUUCUUUGUAGCUAACCCAGUGUUAGUGUUCAGUAUAUGCUUAGGAAUGAGUUGGUAUAUAGUGUUCACUACACAUUUUGCCAAAUGUCUGUCUGUCACAUUUUGUAUCGUUUGAAUGGUUAACUGUAGAAACAAAAAUGUAUAUCUAAAUGGUUAUUCAGUUGGAUGGUUUUUUAAUUCCUAAUAUUUCAUAUCAAUCCAUCAGUCUUAAUAUGUGCCAAAUGAUUAAUCUAACAGAAACAUUAUUAAGAAUAAAAAUAUUUUUAGGGGCAAUUUCACAACAAAAAAGGGGACUUCCUCCGUGGAUUGACUGAAAGAAAUAUUUCGAAGAUAAGAACAUGAACAAGAAAUACAUAUAUGAAGAAAGGAACGUGUGUUUUGAGACCCGAGCUUUUUGAAAUUAUUACACAACAAAACUUUGGACCUAAAACACCAUUUAUGGGGUCAAGAGUCUGAAUUACAGAGUAGGCCUAAAAAAAAAGUGAAAUUGUCAAAGUAUUAGGGACAAGCAGCUCGAGUAAUCAAACCUUUAGAUUCCAUUUACAGUAUCUCUAAAGUAUUUUGGUAAGUCUUAGCCCUAACAAUGUAAUUUAAAAUAAAGCUCAAAAGUCGUUAAAAUGUUUAAAAUAGUCUUUAUAGAUCAUCUUUUGUAGAAAGAGGAUAAAAAUAAAACUACAAUAAAUGUACACUUCAAUCCACAAACUUAACAUCAGAACACUAUCCUCAAACAUACAAGUUGUCCAGUCCAGAGAACAAAGUCAACCCAAACUUUUAGACCUUAAGUCUCAAAAAGGAAACAAGUAUCGAAAAACAUUAAGGAAAACCUACAUUCUGCCGACCAACAGAACCUAGCGAAUCUGUCAACUAACAGAAAACCUACAUUCUGUUGACCAACAGAACCUAGCGAAUCUGUCAACUAACAGAAAACCUACAUUCUGUUGACCAACAGAACCUAGCGAAUCUGUCAACUAACAGAAAACCUACAUUC